AUCUGCUCAGGCUUUUGGCACGACAUGUUGACAAGUUGUCGUGACGUUUAUGAAUUACGCCAAAGGGGACAAAAGUAUUGGAUACAAGUGCUGCACACGUCACCGGGUCACGAAGUACUGAUUAUCGAAUGAAUUUAUCGCUGCAAAAAUUUGAUGAGAUUGUGACCAAUUUUUCAAUGAAAAUACUACAUGUCACAUAGCAUACUAAUGUUAACAUUUCUCGUGACUUUUAAAUCACAGCAUGAGCCAUGAGAUGGAAAAACAUUGAAAAACAUAAGUUACAAGAAUUGUGUAAUUGAGCAGUUCCAUCCAUGAAUGCAGAGUCGAGAUGUUAAGAAUAAAUUCAGAGUUUAUAUGUGGCGGCACAAAGCUUUGUAGCUAUGGAUGAAUACAUAAUGAGCAGAAUGGCGACGUAAAGUGCUAAAGAGCAGAUGUUUUUUGGAAGACAAUUUUCAAAGUUGUCAAGAACCUCGAAUAUUGUAUCGUAAUCUCAACUCGAUGACUCGUAUGUUUUGAAUCACUGUGGCGAACAAUUGCUUUUAUGCCAUGAUCACAAUCACAGCUAAGAUAACUUAUUCAAACUCUAUUACAUCAAAUGGACGCUCAAACGAUUGAUGAUUCUGCUUUCCUAUAUGAAUGGAAGACUGCAGAAGAAGAUUUGGAAUUUUUAGACUAUGCAUACUGUUUUGAAGUUGAUGACCCAAACAAUGCUUUAGCUUCAAAGCCCGUUCUAUCGCAAUGCCACGAAGAAGACGAGAAACAAAAGUUUUAACUCUAUCUGCGCAUAAACUUCAGCGUAUUGAGGACCCGGAGAGCUGCCUACGUAAAACAGUCCUUAUAGGAAAUACGUUAAAACGUCUCAGAAGUCGCGAUUUUUCAUCAACUCGCGAUUUUAGGCUUGUCGAAAGAGGCACAAAAGAAAAAGCAGCUGGUUGUUUCGCCAGCACGCUUCCCAGAAAAAGAGCACGCUUACAUGUUACAGAUAUACUUAACUCGAACACAGAACGUGACUUGAAAAGCGAUUAUGAUGAUCUUCAGCAGUUAUUAACAAGGCAAGAUAAAACCAGUACAAUGGAAAUUACUUAUUUGCAACCAAACUCCGUUAGCAACUGUGCAAUGACGUCAUGUCGUAGCCAGAAAAAUGCAACGUUUGUAAGCUCGAGUGUAGACGAAACAAAACGUAAUUGUGAUCCGAUUAUAUUUAAUGUAUUGGAAUUUCCAAAUGUUGUAUGUGCUUUGGAGACAUGACAUCACAGAUAACCGAACAUUUUUAAUAGGCAAUGUCAAAGGUCCAUUGCACAUAUCUGAGGCUUAAACGAAAUUUUCAUAACAAUUGGAUGCAUAAUUAGGGAAAUAUCAAUUUGGGAAUAAGUGUAUAUUACUGGCGGGUAUUGGAGCCACUCGUUUUUGUAAAGAUAAAUGCUUGAUCUUUGAGUACGUGCGUCAACAUGCCUGGAUUCACUAUUUUACUGGUAAUUGGUUGGAACUAUUGAGAUCAAAUUUCGUCGAUAGCCUAUAUUAAGCAUUCUUCAGUGUGAUUUGAGAGAUGAAGUGAAGGGAAAGAUAUGCUGAGGAUGGACAACAGGAUGAACAAGUGGACGAAGGGGACUUUCAUGGUACUCAAUGGAUCCAUUUGUUUGUCCAUAUUGUGAUUAACAUAAUUUCAUCCUUGUUUUGAUUUUUCCAUCCUAUAUAUUUCAAUGUUGCGUUAUCAAUCGAUAACAUACACGAUACCUACCUGUUCACAGGAUCCUAAAGAAGAUCCAACAAAUCGACCAUUAUUUUAAAGUAAAAGAAGGCUAUGUACAAAGAGGAAAGGCUACUACAUAAAAAAUAUAUCCUUAAUUUGUCUAACUAUCAUCUGGUAUUAUCGCUCUGAUAAAGGCACAGUUAACGUGAUCUCUUAUGAUAUGAGAGGGAUAGUAAAUGGAUAAUUGCUUAUCAGCUAAGAAAAUCACGGGUGAUGGGCAGUUACAUACUGGUCGAUCUGGCUUCAAUACUUCAUCUCACGUGAACAUCAUGUGAACUAUUUAUUCAAAUGCUUUGAGCAUGAAAUGGGCUAUUUAACUGCAGGAAAUUCGCUUUUUUGUGCUUGAGUAUCUUCUUAAACGCCGUAUUAUGAAACUUAAUGAAACUUAUUUACGAAGAAAAUAGAUAGUGUUUUUUUUGACAAUUGAUUGUUGUUGUUGGACAUAGGCAAUAAUGGUGUUGCUUUAACAAAGAAGCAAGUCUUGUCAAUAUGUAGAUAAUUUAUUUGUAAAUUAUAUUGCUCUUAUAUAUCGGGAUAUUGUAGACGAUUACAUUCAUUUAAAUUAUGGAAAGAAGCGAUCACAAA